rnacentral:misc_RNA from 1 species
AAACAAUUGUUCAUGGUAGAAAAGGACCUAAUUGCUUCAGUCUGCAACAGGUUAAAUGAUGUUAUCAUAGGGUACAUGGAAAAGGCUUCGAAGUUCCGUGACACAGUAACAAUCCAUUAAACAUAUUGCCGCACUACAAGCCACUGGUUGAAGUGACUAGCUUUGUCAGUAUGCAGUAGAUAUUUCAAAUUUUAAAAAAAUUUGUGAUUCGUAAUAAAAACCAAAAAAGUUUCUGACAUUGAAUCAAAAUAUGAUAUUAUAGAAUAGCCUUUUAAUACAUUUGAAAAAAAAACCCGUUAUUUUCGUGGUAAGUCUGUUGAUUUAAAUAGAGCAACUUGACCCAUGCUGCACGUGGCAGCUAGUGAACAUAAGUCUAUGUAGUGGUUAUUAUUUUGGUUUUUUUGCGGGUUGACAUGUAACCUACUUACCGUAUAUACACAGUGAACUGUAGUAGUUCAGAUUUUGGGCCAUACUGGACAUGUGAUUGACAGUUUUCAUAGCUGUUUGACAGUUUAACCACUUCUCCCCACUGACAAGUUUACUCUCUCUAUUACUUGUGCAUCACCAUGACCACAUUGUUCUGUUCAUUUUACGACACCCUCUCUGUCAUUUUUUUCACCAAAUGAUACAAUGCUGCUUCUGAAGAACUUUAUUUUUUUCCACACUUAUGAACAAAUACCGUACAUGUAGUAUUUUAUGUGGGAAUACAUCAAAAUGUAUUACGAAAGGGGUCUCAGAAAGUGAAAUGCAUCUUACUGGUAAGAAUAAAAAAAAGUUGUGGUUGAUGAAACUUUAUUUCAAGAUGUUCAGGUUUCUUUUUCACAUUCUUAGAAUGUAAAAUGCAUCUAACUGGUAGGGAUUUUGUUGAAAAAAAAGUUGUGGUUGAUGAAACUUUAUUUCAAAAUGUUCAGGUUUCUUUAUGCGAAAUGCAUCUAAAUGGUAAGGAUUUUGUUGAAAAAAAAGGUAGCGGUUGAUGAAACUUAAUUUCAAGAUGUUCAGGUUUCUUUUUAAAGUACAGUGCAAUGUUGUUGUAGUUAGGUUUACUGCUCUCUAUCACAGCAAAAAAUUGAACAAGACAGAUGAGAACUGGCUGGAACCUUUAUUUGAAGUCAAGCAGAACACUCCUUGGUUGGUACAGUAGUUCUUGGAUGUGUUUUUUAAUCUAAACCUUAAAACAAAAAAAGUUAAAAUCCUGGAACUUGAAUCUAAUUAGAAUGAAUCAACAGUUUCUCCAAUCUUCACGUUCCACUUGCACAAUUCCUUGCAUUCUAUGGUUCAUCAAUUGUUGAAAUAAAAACCUUUCACAUAUUCC